ensembl:snoRNA
AAGUGAGACUUCAACUCAAAAAAGAAGUGCUUGCCACAACAGUUUUGAGAUGGUUUGAGGCCUUACCCUGCUCCAUUCACAGCAAGGUUAUAGCAAUUUCAGACAGUU